UACGUAGGGUGCGAGCGUUGUCCGGAAUUAUUGGGCGUAAAGAGCUCGUAGGCGGUGUGUCGCGUCGGCCGUGAAAACCUGGGGCUCAACUCUGGGCGUGCGGUCGAUACGGGCAUCACUUGAGUUCGGCAGGGGAGACUGGAAUUCCUGGUGUAGCAGUGAAAUGCGUAGAGAUCGGGAGGAACAUCAGUUGCGAAGGCGGCCCUCUGGACCAGCACUGACACUGAGGCGCGAAAGCUAGGGGAGCAAACGGG
rnacentral:rRNA from 1 species